rnacentral:rRNA from 1 species
GAUGAACGCUGGCGGCGUGCCUAAUACAUGCAAGUCGAGCGAACAGACGAGGAGCUUGCUCCUCUGACGUUAGGGGAGGACGGGUGAGUAACACGUGGAUAACCUACCUAUAAGUCUGGGAUCAUCUCGGGAAAGCGGAGCUAAUACCGGAUAAUCUAUUGAACCGCAGGGGGCAUUAGAAAGUGUCGGUGGUGCUGGCUGGAAUCGCUGGAUCCGCGCCGCAUUAGCUGGUUGGUAAGGUAACGGCUUACCAAGGCGACGAUGCGUAGCCGACCGGUGAGGGUGAUCGGCGACACUGGAGCUGGGACAGCGACCAGACGCCUACGGGAGGGAGCAGUAGGGAAUCGUCCGCAGUGGGCGAAAGUCUGGCGGAGUAACGGCGCGUCAGAGACGAAGGUCCUCCGAGCGGAAAGCUGUGCUAUUGGGUAAGAACAGCUGUGGACUGAAAUAUGCACGUAGUGACGGUAACUAGUAAAGAAGCCACGGCUAACUACGUG